UCCAAUUUUUAUGCCACCCUGAACAAGCUGGAUCUCGUCUGAUCUCAGAAGCUAAGCAGGGUCGGGCCUGGUUAGUACUUGAAUGGGAGACCGCCUAGGAAGACCAGGUGCUGUAGGUG
rnacentral:rRNA from 1 species